CCACGCCAUGGGAGCAGUUCCAUUUACCUUCCAUCAAAUCAUCGAAAUAUCCGCAUAAGACGAGGAGGAAAUUUGGCCCUGCAAGACGAUCGAUCCACCAAAGCACAAUGAACUCCUGAGUAGGGACGAGGACCAAGCUGGCAAAACUAGCAAAGACGAAGAAGCCUGCUCAAGUCUCUGUCCUGCAGGUUCUAUGUGAUCAGUUGUAUAAUUCCUUUGGUUCACGGAGAAGGUUUGUUGCUCCGUAAUUUUGAGUCUCAUCUGUUCAUAUACCUUUAGUUGGUAGUAUGAUUUUGAUGAUAAAAAAUAAAUUCUGGUUUUUAGCAUCUCAGUUAAUUGUGUUACAAGUUUUGAGUUUUUUUUUAAAUUUAAAUUUUUAGAACCUCCUAGUUCUACCA